GCCAGGUUACUCAAGCGGUCAACGAGACCUCUCUGUAAAAGAGGUGGCUUAAGCCUACGUAGGUUCGAGUCCUACACCUGGCA
rnacentral:tRNA from 1 species